CCUACGGGAGGCAGCAAUGGGGGAUAUUGCACAAUGGGGGAAACCCUGAUGCAGCGACGCCGCGUGGGCGAAGAAGUAUUUCGGUAUGUAAAGCCCUAUCAGCAGGGAAGAAGAAAUUACGGUACCUGAGUAAGAACCACCGGCUAAAUACGUGCCAGCAGCCGCGGUAAUACGUAUGGUGCAAGCGUGAUCCGGAUUUACUGGGGGUAAAGGGAGCGCAGGCGGCACGGCAAGUCUGAUGUGAAAGCCCGCGGCCCAACCGCGGGACUGCAUUGGGAACUACCGGGCUGGAGUGCCGGAGAGGUAGGCGGAAUUCCUGGUGUAGCGGUGAAAUGCGUAGAUAUUAGGAGGAACACCAGUGGCGAAGGCGGCCUACUGGACGGUGACUGACGCUGAGGCUCGAAAGCGUGGGGAGCAAACAGGAUUAGAUACCCUUGUAGUC
rnacentral:rRNA from 1 species